GCCCAGACCCCUACGGGGGGCAGCAACUAGGAAUCUUCCACAAUGGACGAAAGUCUGAUGGAGCAACGCCGCGUGCAGGAUGAAAGCCUUCGGGUUGUAAACUGCUUUUUUCUGUGAUGAUUAUGACAGUAGCAGACGAAUAAGGAUCGGCUAACUCCGUGCCAGCAGCCGCGGUCAUACGGAGGAUCCAAGCGUUAUCCGGAAUUACUGGGCGUAAAGAGUUGCGUAGGCGGUUAAGUAAGUAGUGUGUGAAAUGACAGGGCUCAACCCUGUGCCCAUACACUAAACUGCUUUGACUAGAGAAUGGAAGAGGUCGCUGGAAUUCCUGGUGUAGGGGUGAAAUCCGUAGAUAUCAGGAGGAACACCGAUGGCGUAGGCAGGCGACUGGUCCAUUUCUGACGCUCAGGCACGAAAGCGUGGGGAGCGAUCGGGAUUAGAUACCCCGGUAGUCCACGCCGUAAACGAUGGAUGCUAGCUGUACGGAGUAUCGACCCUCUGUGUAGCAAAGCUAACGCGUUAAGCAUCCCGCCUGUGGAGUACGAGCGCAAGCUUAAAACAUAAAGGAAUUGACGGGGACCCGCACAAGCGGUGGAGCGUGUUGUUUAAUUCGAUGGUAAGCGAAGAACCUUACCCAGGUUUGACAUCCUACUAAUCUUUCCGAAAGGAAAGAGUGCCUUCGGGCCGUAGUGACAGGUGCUGCAUGGCCGUCGUCAGCUCGUGUCGUGAGAUGUUUGGUUAAGUCCAUCAACGAGCGCAACCCUUAUAGUUAGUUGGAUUUUUCUAGCUAGACUGCCCCGGUAACGGGGAGGAAGGAGGGGAUGAUGUCAGGUCAGUAUUGCCCUUACACCUGGGGCUACAAACACGCUACAAUGGCCGGUACAAAGGGCUGCCAACCCGCGAGGGGGAGCAAAUCCCAUCAAAGCCGGUCUCAGUUCGGAUUGCAGGCUGAAACUCGCCUGCAUGAAGCUGGAAUCGCUAGUAACGGUAGGUCAGCACACUACCGUGAAUACGUUCCCGGGUCUUGUACACACCGCCCGUCAAGCCACGAAAGUCGCCAAUAUCCAACGUCCUAGCUUGUACU
rnacentral:rRNA from 1 species